UGGGCUAACAGUGGCAAGAUACCAGCCUGGUACUCGGUGGUGUUACCGGUGCAAGUUGCUCGCCUAUAAGAAAUUUGAAAGCCGUCCUCAAACAAGUAGAAAACCAGUCGAGGUAAGUGUAUAUUUUUAUUCGGGAAAACAACCACUCCUCUGCAGUGCCUCUUCGCUGUAAAUUGCUAUGUAUUUCUCCCUGUAUUUUCAAUCUGUUUAACAAAAUAUAAAAACGAGUACAUAGAAAAGGCUUGAACAUUCUUUCGUUCUUUUUAUUAGGAAAAAGCAAAUAGUAGUACAUCCGCCAUCAGCACAGAACAACAACUACAAAAGAUAUUUCAGUUUACGGGAUCCCCUAUUCUACACCUCCAUGACAGUAUGCAAGAUAUAUCUAUGUCAGCACCUACCAUAUUCCAACUGGAUCAAACAAAGCAACAAUUUGGAAGGCUGUUUUCAAGACUUGAAGCUCUAGCAGAAAUAUGUGACAUUCAUCUCCUGGAAACAUGGAAAGAGCUGUUAAUGGAUAGUCAAGUAUGGGACCAAAUAAAGACAACAAUCAAAGAACUUGAUGAAUUGGAUGAAGGUAAUUCACUGGGCCAACUAGUGCAACAAUUUCAGAUGGCUCUAUACCAUCAUGCCCUCAGUAGUGAAGCUCCAUUAUGAGCCAGCAGCAAUGAAAGCGUUCACACAAAAACACUCCUCAGGUCUGUUUGAAAUGCUUUUAAGUUAAAUAACAAGGGAGGACUCCAGACUCUCAGAUGAACAUCAAGCUGUACAGGAGCAAAGAACUGUUGUUCUCCUUCACACACUGGCAUAUUUCAGGUCUCAGAAAACUUCCACCCUACAAAAGGAUGAAGGGCUAUUCCUACAACAUCAUGGUGCUUCUAGGACAGCAAUCAAUUCAGGAAGGAUACUUGGUUUCAGUACAAGUCCUAGAAAUAUUGAUUCUCACAAGAAAGCACUAAUAACAAAAUAUCCAGACAUACUGAUGAGAAAGGUUAUCCUGGCAACAGAGAAAGGAUUCCUAAUUGUACAACUGUUGGAUGACUUCCAUAAUAUUUUGACUGUUAGACUACCAACAAAUCUGAAGCUAUCAUUAGCUACGCACAUGGCUAGUGGCCUACUGGACAUCCAUCCUUCAAUUCCUGCUGUUCCUAUUCCUACAAGAGAUACAAGACACAGCCGAGUGAUUGUGAAGAUAGGGAAUGAAAAUAAAAUUUGCAGAGGAGGAAUUGUUCUAGACUACAUAAAAGAGUUGUUUCAAAGACCAGUGUUAUCAAGAAUGUACUUGGAAACAAAUCACCAAUGCAUUUCACCAGAAUACAUCCAACAACAACUAAAGGAAUUGAGGUAUUCUAUGGAUUUUAAUGUAGUUAUUUAAAGGUCAGCAAUCCAUAUAAGAAAAAUACUGUUUUCUCUUCUUAAAAAAAUGUUUUAAUAUUGACACUUCCUAAAUAUUUUUCCAGGCACAAUACUUUAUUCCCCUAUGUGGACCUCCCACCCAAUAAAUAUGUACCUCUUACAUUAGUUUGUGAAAGCCAUAUAUUCAUAAUGAUUAAUAUCAAUUUUACUUUUGUUUAGUGACUGCUAUUACAAAAAAGGAGUAGAGUAAAA